rnacentral:tRNA from 1 species
GUGGGGCUGGGGCUCAGUGGUAGAGCGCUCGCCUAGCGCGUGCGAGGCCCUGGGUUCAAUACUUAGCACCACA